rnacentral:rRNA from 1 species
GGCGAACGCUAGCGGGUGGCUUAACACAUGCAAGUCGAGCGGGGUCUUCGGGCCCAGCGGCGAACGGGUGAGUAACACGUAGGAUAUCUGCCUUUUGGUGGGGCAUAGCCGGGGGAAACCCCGAUUAAUACCGCAUAUGGCCUAUGGGUCAAAGCCUUCGGGCGCCAAGAGAGGAGCCUGCGGCCCAUUAUUUAAUCCUAGUUGGUGGGGUAAUGGCCUACCAAGGGUACGAUGGGUAGCUGGUCUGAGAGGACGAUCAGCCACACUGGAACUGAGACACGGUCCAGACUCCUACGGGAGGCAGCAGUGGGGAAUAUUGCGCAAUGGGCGGAAGCCUGACGCAGCCAACCCGCGUGUGUGAUGAAGGCCUUCGGUU